rnacentral:rRNA from 1 species
UACGUAGGGUGCAAGCGUUAAUCGGAAUUACUGGGCGUAAAGCGUGCGCAGGCGGUUGUGUAAGACAGAUGUGAAAUCCCCCGGGCUCAACCUGGGAACUGCAUUUGUGACUGCACAGCUGGAGUGCGGCAGAGGGGGAUGGAAUUCCGCGUGUAGCAGUGAAAUGCGUAGAUAUGCGGAGGAACACCGAUGGCGAAGGCAGUCCCCUGGGCCUGCACUGACGCUCAUGCACGAAAGCGUGGGGAGCAAACAGG